rnacentral:rRNA from 1 species
UACAGAGGGUGCAAGCGUUAAUCGGAGUUACUGGGCGUAAAGGGCGCGUAGGCGGUCAAAUAAGUUAGUUGUGAAAUCCCUGGGCUUAACCUAGGAACUGCAACUAAGACUGUGUGACUAGAGUACUGUAGAGGGUAGUGGAAUUUCCGGUGUAGCGGUGAAAUGCGUAGAGAUCGGAAGGAACACCAGUGGCGAAGGCGGCUACCUGGACAGAUACUGACGCUGAGGCGCGAAAGCGUGGGGAGCAAACAGG